UACGUAGGGGGCAAGCGUUGUCCGGAUUCAUUGGGCGUAAAGAGCUCGUAGGCGGUUCAGUAAGUCAGGUGUGAAAGCUCCGAGCUCAACUCGGAGAGGCCACCUGAUACUGCUGUGACUUGAGUCCAGUAGAGGAGCGUGGAACUCCUGGUGUAGCGGUGGAAUGCGCAGAUAUCAGGAAGAACACCUGCAGCGAAGGCGGCGCUCUGGGCUGGAACUGACGCUGAGGAGCGAAAGCAUGGGUAGCAAA
rnacentral:rRNA from 1 species